rnacentral:rRNA from 2 species
UACGGAGGAUCCGAGCGUUAUCCGGAUUUAUUGGGUUUAAAGGGUGCGUAGGCGGCUCAUUAAGUCAGUGGUGAAAGGUAACCGCUUAACGGGGACACUGCCAUUGAUACUGAUGAGCUGGAGUACAGAUGAAGUGGGCGGAAUGUGUCAAGUAGCGGUGAAAUGCAUAGAUAUGACACAGAACACCAAUUGCGAAGGCAGCUCACUAAAGUGUAACUGACGCUGAGGCACGAAAGCGUGGGGAUCGAACAGG